rnacentral:rRNA from 1 species
GACGAACGCUGGCGGCGUGCUUAACACAUGCAAGUCGAACGCUGAAGCUCAGCUUUUGUUGGGUGGAUGAGUGGCGAACGGGUGAGUAACACGUGAGUAACCUGCCUCCUUCUUUGGGAUAACGCCCGGAAACGGGUGCUAAUACUGGAUAUUCACUGGUCUUCGCAUGGGGGUUGGUGGAAAGGGUUUUUCUGGUGGGGGAUGGGCUCGCGGCCUAUCAGCUUGUUGGUGGGGUGAUGGCCUACCAAGGCUUUGACGGGUAGCCGGCCUGAGAGGGUGACCGGUCACAUUGGGACGGAGAUACGGCCCAGGGUCGUACGGGAGGCAGCAGUGGGGAAAAUUGGACAAUGGGCGCAAGCCUGAUGCAGCGACGCUGCGUGAGGGAUGGAGGCCGUCGGGUUGUGAAACUCUUUCGCUCAUGGUCAAGCCGCAACAAUGGUUGUGGUGAGGGUAGUGGGUAAAGAAGCGCCGGCUAACUACGUG